rnacentral:rRNA from 1 species
AUGCUUUACACAUGCAAGUCGAACGGCAGCAUAGAGAGCUUGCUCUCUGAUGGCGAGUGGCGAACGGGUGAGUAAUACAUCGGAACGUGUCCGUUUGUGGGGGACAACCACCCGAAAGGGUGGCUAAUACCGCAUAAGACCUGAGGGUGAAAGCCGGGGACCGCAAGGCCUGGCGCGAACGGAGCGGCCGAUGACUGAUUAGCUGGUUGGCGGGGUAAAGGCCCACCAAGGCGACGAUCAGUAGCUGGUCUGAGAGGACGACCAGCCACACUGGAACUGAGACACGGUCCAGACUCCUACGGGAGGCAGCAGUGGGGAAUUUUGGACAAUGGGGGCAACCCUGAUCCAGCCAUGCCGCGUGCGGGAAGAAGGCCUUCGGGUUGUAAACCGCUUUUGUCAGGGACGAAAAGGUGCGGGUUAAGAGCUAGCACUGAUGACGGUACCUGAAGAAUAAGCACCGGCUAACUACGUGCCAGCAGCCGCGGUAAUACGUAGGGUGCGAGCGUUAAUCGGAAUUACUGGGCGUAAAGCGUGCGCAGGCGGUUGGGUAAGACAGAUGUGAAAUCCCCGGGCUUAACCUGGGAACUGCAUUUGUGACUGUCCGACUGGAGUAUGUCAGAGGGGGGUGGAAUUCCAAGUGUAGCAGUGAAAUGCGUAGAUAUUUGGAAGAACACCGAUGGCGAAGGCAGCCCCCUGGGGCAAAACUGACGCUCAUGCACGAAAGCGUGGGGAGCAAACAGGAUUAGAUACCCUGGUAGUCCACGCCCUAAACGAUGUCUACUGGUUGUUGGAGGGUAAAACCUUCAGUAACGAAGCUAACGCGUGAAGUAGACCGCCUGGGGAGUACGGUCGCAAGAUUAAAACUCAAAG